rnacentral:rRNA from 1 species
UACAGAGGAUGCAAGCGUUAUCCGGAAUGAUUGGGCGUAAAGCGUCUGUAGGUGGCUUUUUAAGUCCGCCGUCAAAUCCCAGGGCUCAACUCUGGACAGGCGGUGGAAACUACCAAGCUUGAAUACGGUAGGGGCAGAGGGAAUUUCCGGGUGGAGCGGUGAAAUGCGUAGAGAUCGGAAAGAACACCAACGGCGAAAGCACUCUGCUGGGCCGACACUGACACUGAGAGACGAAAGCUAGGGGAGCGAAUGGG